UGGGGAAUAUUGGACAAUGGGCGCAAGCCUGAUCCAGCAAUGCCGCGUGCAGGAUGAAGGCCUUCGGGUUGUAAACUGCUUUUUUACGGAGCGAAAAGGUCUGCCCUAAUACGGUGGGCUCAUGACGGUACCGUAAGAAUAAGCACCGGCUAACUACGUGCCAGCAGCCGCGGUAAUACGUAGGGUGCGAGCGUUAAUCGGAAUUACUGGGCGUAAAGCGUGCGCAGGCGGUUAUAUAAGACAGAUGUGAAAUCCCCGGGCUCAACCUGGGACCUGCAUUUGGGACUGUAUAGCUAGAGUACGGUAGAGGGGAGUGGAAUUCCGCGUGUAGCAGUGAAAUGCGUAGAUAUGCGGAGGAACACCGAUGGCGAAGGCAAUCCCCUGGACCUGUACUGACGCUCAUGCACGAAAGCGUGGGGAGCAAACA
rnacentral:rRNA from 1 species